rnacentral:lncRNA from 1 species
ACUUGAAACCUCUUUAGAUUGCUUGGAAGAGAAGAUAGUAGACAGUAUAAGUGAAAUCAAAUUCAUCUGUUGCUAGCCAAGGGUGGUGAAACAUUACAACACCUUUUCAUCAUUAGGAACAUUCUGAGACUGUAAUGCACCAAAUACCAUGGUUAAACAGAUGAACUACUACUGAAAUCUCUGCCACAUAACAAGAAGAGCCUAUGAGUCUUUACUUCCACAUUUGAUUCUUGGUUAAUCCAACAGGUUCCUCGGUUCAAAUUACACGAAAAGCUUCUCCAAUUGCUACCUUAGCCUCUCAAAUCUCUGCCACAUAACAAGAAGAGCCUAUGAGUCUUUACUUCCACAUUUGAUACUUGGUUAAUCCAACAGGUUCCUCGGUUCAAAUUACACGAAAAGCUUCUCCAAUUGCUACCUUAGCCUCUCAAAUCUGAAGCAUGUAGCAACAAUGCUUACUCCGUUACUCGGGAUAGAUACAAACCAUGCUAAAAUACAUGAUGGUGAAUGCCAAAAGAAUAUGUGUGAGGGUGUGUUCAACUGAUUAGAGUUGUGAAUUUGUC